GAUGAACGCUGGCUACAGGCUUAACACAUGCAAGUCGAGGGGAAACGACGGGGAAGCUUGCUUCCCCGGGCGUCGACCGGCGCACGGGUGAGUAACGCGUAUCCAACCUGCCUCUGACUGAGGGAUAACCCGUCGAAAGUCGGCCUAAUACCUCAUGGUAUCGUCUGCGGGCAUCCAACGACGAUUAAAGAUUUCAUCGGUCAGGGAUGGGGAUGCGUCUGAUUAGCUUGUUGGCGGGGUAACGGCCCACCAAGGCUACGAUCAGUAGGGGUUCUGAGAGGAAGGUCCCCGAGAGUGGAACUGAGACACGGGCCAAAGUCCUACGGGAGGCAGCAGUGAGGAAGAUUGGUGAAUGGGCGAGAGCCUGAACCAGCCAAGUAGCGUGCAGGAAGACGGCCCUAUGGGUUGUAAACUGCUUUUAGGCGGGGAUAAAGUGAGGGACGUGUCCCUCAUUGCAGGUACCGCAUGAAUAAGGACCGGCUAAUUCCGUG
rnacentral:rRNA from 1 species